UACGGAGGGGGCUAGCGUUGUUCGGAAUUACUGGGCGUAAAGCGCACGUAGGCGGAUAUUUAAGUCAGGGGUGAAAUCCCGGGGCUCAACCCCGGAACUGCCUUUGAUACUGGGUAUCUGGAGGUCGAGAGAGGCGAGUGGAAUUCCGAGUGUAGAGGUGAAAUUCGUAGAUAUUCGGAGGAACACCAGGUGGCGGAAGGCGGGCUCUCGUGGGACGGUACUGGACGCUGAGACGCGGAAAGCGUGGGGA
rnacentral:rRNA from 1 species